UACAGAGGUCUCAAGCGUUGUUCGGAUUCAUUGGGCGUAAAGGGUGCGUAGGCGGCGCGGUAAGUCGGGUGUGAAAUCUCGGAGCUUAACUCCGAAACUGCAUUCGAUACUGCCGUGCUUGAGGACUGGAGAGGAGACUGGAAUUUACGGUGUAGCGGUGAAAUGCGUAGAUAUCGUAAGGAAGACCAGUGGCGGAAGGCGGGUCUCUGGACAGUUCCUGACGCUGAGGCACGAAGGCCAGGGAGCAAACGGG
rnacentral:rRNA from 1 species